UACGUAGGUCCCGAGCGUUGUCCGGAUUUAUUGGGCGUAAAGCGAGCGCAGGUGGUUUAUUAAGUCUGGUGUAAAAGGCAGUGGCUCAACCAUUGUAUGCAUUGGAAACUGGUAGACUUGAGUGCAGGAGAGGAGAGUGGAAUUCCAUGUGUAGCGGUGAAAUGCGUAGAUAUAUGGAGAAACGCCGGUGGCGAAAGCGGCUCUCUGGCCUGUAACUGACACUGAGGCUCGAAAGCGUGGGGAGCAAACAGG
rnacentral:rRNA from 1 species